rnacentral:rRNA from 1 species
GAUGAACGCUGACAGAAUGCUUAACACAUGCCGGUCGAUGGGGCAGUGGUGCUUGCACCUUGUCAACCAUGGCGGACGGGUGAGUAACUCGUAAGUGACUUACCUGCAUGACUGGGUUAACAGGGUUAAACUCCUGACAAGACCGGAUAGUGUCAUUGAGCUGCAUGGCUUUUUGAUGAAAGGAGACGCCUGCGGAGAGCCUUGCGUCCUAUUAGCUGGUUGGUGAGGUAAUGGCUCACCAAGGCGAAGAUAGGUAGCCGGCCUGAGAGGGUGGACGGCCACAAGGGGAAUGAGAUACGGCCGUUACUAAUACGGGAGGAAGGAGUGGGGAAUAUUGGAGAAUGGGGGCAACCCUGAUCAAGCAAUUCUGUGUGUACGAAGAAGGUUUUCGGAUUGUAAAGAGGUUUCAGCAGGGAAGAAGUAAGUGACGGUACCUGAAGAAGAAGCGACGGCUAAAUACGUG